CAGAGUAUCAUGCCCUUCGGGGUAGAUCUCCCACCCUGUGUAUUUAUACCUUUUGUUGCUUUGGCGGGCCGCCCUAGGCCACCGGCUCCGGCUGGUGAGCGCCCGCCAGAGGACCCCAAACUCUGAAUAUUAGUGUCGUCUGAGUACUAUAUAAUAGUUA
rnacentral:misc_RNA from 1 species